AGUAAUGGCAGGUCAGCAUACUGCCGUGAAUACGUUCCCGGGCCUUGUACACACCGCCCGUCACACCAUGAGAGUUGGGAAUACCCGAAGCCUGUGAGCCAACAUCUAUGAGGCAGCAGUCGAAGGUAGAAUCAAUGAUUGGGGUGAAGUCGUAACAAGGUAUC
rnacentral:rRNA from 1 species